CCUUCUCAGAAACAAAUUUCUCUCUGCGCUUCUCCCUCUCAGAAACAAAUUUCUCUCUGUCACGCUUCGGACUCUAUCUCGCUUCCGAUUCGGUUUAUCUAAAGAACCCAGAAUUCGGCGUCUUCUUCUCUUACUAAUCAACCACAAGUGUGCGCUUCUCCUUCUCAUAAACAAAUUUCUCUCUGUCACGCCUCGGACUCUGUCACGCUUCGAACUCUAUCACGCUUCCGUUUCGGUUUAUGUAAAGAACCCAGAAUUCGGCUUCUUCUUCUCUUACUAAUCAACCACAAGAACCCAGGGCAACUAAACAAAACCCAAAGAAGAAACAGUAUCGGCCGGCGACGAUAUUUGAAAUAGUGAGUCUUGGAAUUUAGCACACGAGUCCAGAAGUUUCAUUGUACGAUGAAGUUAUUUAUGUAGUCACUGUUCUGGAAAUAAAUUGGCAUUGAAGGUGAAGUAAAAAGCAAAUAGAAUUGAUGAAAGCUAAAGGCAUCGUCACUAAGAUAAGCACAACUGUUAAGACGGAGAUUAGAGAAAAGUGGAUGAAUCUUGAUGAAGAUUCUAAAUUAGAGUACAAGAAGGAAGCACGUGAGAAUUCUGAAAAAUAUGCUAAUUUGUCACAUAAUAAUCCUCGCAAAUAACGUAAAGGUUCAUUAUAUACUCGGUGUGCCCCUAAUCGUGUUCAUUUGAUGGCUUUAAAUUUAAAUGAAAGACAAAGAUUUGUUAUUCGAGAAAUGGGAUUUGGUAGUAUGUUGGAUUUAAGGUCUAUACAAUUGGAUAGAGAUUUUUGCAAAUGGUUAGUUGAUCAUUUUGACCACAAUUCUUGUGCAUUGGAUAUUUGUGGAAGGAGGUUACCAAUAUCCACUGAAGAUAUAGAAUUUAUUCUAGGAAUAAAAUCAAGUGGGGUAGAUGUGUCUAUUGUUGCAAGUGCUGAAGAGAUAAAUCAUAUAUGCCAACAACAUGGAUUAAAUGUGGUAGGGGAUAUACCAAUUAACCUCUUAGAGGGUAAGCUGAAGGAGAUGAAAACAUCUGGAAAAGAAUUUGUUGGUUGUUUUUUGCUGUUUCUAUUGGGUACUUUAUUAUGUCCCACUCCAAAACCUUAUAUCAAACGGUCCUUUAUCUCAAUUCUCCUUAAUAUUGAUGAGUUCAAAAACUUGAAUUGGGCGAAGUUGGUGUUGGAUUUUCUUAUUCGAGGUGUGCGCAAAUAUAAAGAAAAGAAUAGUGUUGGCGUUAAUGGUUGCUUGCUAUUUUUAAUGUUGUUUUAUUUUGAGCAUGUCAAUGUUGAAACAAAUCUUGAACAUGUGUCCAAACGACUUCGACCACGUGUUUGUUAUUGGGGGAAAAAAGAAGUUAACCAAAGGAUGCUUCAAUUACAGUCAAUUGGAAGUUUUGACAGUCCUAAGUUGGUUGUAACACAAAUGGAUGGUGGACACGCGACAGAAAGUAUUCCACUAGAGAAACAAGAUAUUAAUGAAUCUCAUGCUAUGCCAUCUCAACAUGAAGACAAGCGAAAUAUGGAUUCUGUUGAAGCAAUUUGUAGAAUUGAGCAAUCAAUAACAAGUCUUAGAGAUGAAAUGCUAGUCAUGCAGAAAACCGUGACAAACAUUGCAAACAAUCUGGACACAUUUAAGAAUGACAUUCUUUUGGAGUUAAAGAAAACAGCAAGGGAACAUAGUGGACAUUCCAAUGACCUCAACUUAAAUGAUAUUGUAGAUGUUAAAAAAGAAAUGAAGUCUGCAUCUCCAAAUAUAAUCCAAGACACAAUGGAUCAAGAUGAUACAGUAUGUGCUAAAAACGAAUCUAAGAUAGAGUCUACAUCUCCAGUUCAAGACAAAAUGGAUCAAGAUGAUACAGGGCACAUUAAAAAAGUAUCUAAGAUGGUGUCAAUGGAGGAAGACUGCAAUGUUCCCAUUGCUGGGCUAACUCAAUCUAAUCAAAAACCUGGCAGUAAAACACCCUUAUCUCAUAAUGUGGAUGUGGAUAUGCUGCAGUUAACUUUCCCUCAUAAUGUUCAACUUAAAGCAUCACGUGUUACACCUUCUAGCAAGCCUAAAGUCACCAGAUCACAAAAACGUAGCCCAAUUGUCACAUCACAAGUUGAAGUUCCAAAAGUCGAAAAGAGGAAAGAAAUCAAAGAUUCAUUGCAGGAAUCUAGACUGGGUGAUGGCGAGGAUAUGAAUGAGUUCAAACCAUUUACUGAAAUGGAGAAGAUCAUAUGUAACUACAUUUUUAAUAAAAAUUUUGAAGAGAGUGAAGUUCUUGUUUCCAUGAAAUAUGAAUAUGGUGAUCGUGCAGCUUUCAAUACCUUGCUCCCUAAGCAAUGGAUAAGCAAUCAGAUUAUUAAUUUGUUCGUUUGCAAGAUGAGGAUGGAAGAGAACAGAUAUAGAGACAUGUUUGUGUGGUAUUUGCCAAUGCAUUUUGCUCAAAAAAUGCUCGAAGAAGAUGGCAAUCCCACACUAGAAUGGUUUAAAAAGACAUAUAGGGACGAUGACAAGUAUAUGUCAAAUUUGGUGAAGUGUGAACGGAUUUUUAUCCCUAUGAAUGACAAUAAUAGUCAUUGGUACUUAUGUGUCAUUGAUUUUGAAAAAAGAUUUAUAUAUAUACUGGACUCUUUGCAAAGCACAACUAGUGAAGUCAUUCGAACAAAAAAUGUUAAAACUGUGGUUACAGGCCUUGAUAAGUUGUUGAGUUUUUUGGAGAAAGACAAGUAUAUUGAUAGUAUUACCACAUUUAAAUUGAAAUCACCCGUCUCGAAUCCUCAACAAAAUAAUGGGUAUGAUUGCAGGAUGUAUGUUAUAAAACACAUGUUUACAAAUACUUCCAGCAGGCAUUUACCCCUUUUGGAGAGCUGGUCGGAACGUUUACGGUACAAGUUGGCAGCAAGUCUAGUGCUUUCAAAGAAUAAUGAUCAACGUUCAAGAAUUGUUGAAAUUGCUGGAAACAUUCCACUACAGGAAUAUUUUCGGUCACUCAAAGAUUAGUAUAACGGUCACUCAAAGAUUAGUAUAAAAGAAUGAAUAGGAUACUAUUUAUGAAUUAGUGUUUGGAUCUUGGUGGGAAAUCUGUUACCUGUUGGCUAUAUACAUUGCUAGCUAUGGUUGGAUAAGAAUUUGAUCAUGGAGAUGAAAUUUGUGGAGCAGUUGUCAAUGUCAGAGCUAGGCAGGAAAAAAUAUCUCUAUGGCUGAAGAAUGCUACAAAUAUAAAGCCUAGGCAACUAGCAUGUUUUGUUCACAUGUAAAUAUAAUAUUUCAACACUAGAGGAAUUACAUGUUUUUUUCACAUGUUUUGUAUAAUCACAUUAUUAAGUGAAUGUAAUCACAUUAUUAAAUUUAAUCCAUUUUGUAUAUAACACUAGAGGAAUUAUUAUACUUAAUAUUUAUACUGCAAUAUAAGCAUUAUAUAAAGCCUCAGUUGUAAAGCUUGAAUAUU